UACAGAGGUCUCAAGCGUUGUUCGGAUUCAUUGGGCGUAAAGGGUGCGUAGGCGGCGCGGUAAGUCGGGUGUGAAAUCUCGGAGCUUAACUCCGAAACUGCAUUCGAUACUGCCGUGCUUGAGGACUGGAGAGGAGAGUGGAAUUCCUGGUGUAGCGGUGAAAUGCGCAGAUAUCAGGAAGAACACCCGUGGCGAAGGCGGCUCUCUGGUACGUGACUGACGCUGAGACGCGAAAGCGUGGGGAGCGAACAGG
rnacentral:rRNA from 1 species